CUCUAGUCUAGUGGAUUGGAGCGGAGAUCAUCGCUGGUUCGGAGACACACAGUUCGGAUAACACAUCAGAUUCAGCAAACACCGUUUAUGGUUUUAACUGAAGAUUUUACAAUGUCUCGCACCGACGAGGUCCACCGCAUAACGGAAAAUGUCUAUAAGACCAUCAUGGAACAGUUCAACCCCUGUUUGCGGAAUUUCAUAACUAUGGGGAAGAACUACGAGAAGGCUCUCUCCAGUGUGACGUUUGCGGCAAAGGGUUAUUUUGAUGCUCUGGUGAGAAUGGGCGAGCUGGCCAGUGAAAGUCAAGGAUCGAAAGACUUGGGGGAUGUGCUUUUCCAGAUGGCAGAGGUCCACCGUCAGAUUCAAGUACAGUUAGAGGAAAUGUUGAAAUGCUUCCACAAUGAGCUGAUGUCAGAACUGGAGAAGAAGGUGGAAUUGGAUGCAAGAUACCUGACUGCGGCUCUCAAGAAGUACCAGAUAGAGCACAAAACCAAAGGAGAGAGUCUGGAGAAAUGCCAAGGUGAGCUGAAGAAACUGCGGAGGAAGAGCCAGGGCAGCAAAAACCCCUCCAAGUACAGCGAGAAGGAGUUGCAGUUCGUUGAGACCAUCAGCAGUAAACAGAGCGAGCUGGAUACCUUCAUAGCAGAGGGCUACAAAACAGCGCUGUCAGAGGAACGUAGGAGAUACUGUUUCCUGGUGGACCGCCAGUGCGCCGUGGCCAAGAACAGCAGCGCCUACCAUGGCAAGGGUAAGGACCUUCUCACCCAGAAGAUCCCAGUAUGGCAGCAGGCCUGCUCUGACCCCAACAAGCUGCCCGAGAGGGCCAUGCUGCUCGCCCAGCAGAUGACCUCUGGUUCCAGCACCAUGCUCUCCAGCCCUUUGCACUCCUCCAAGGGCAACCUGGUCAUCUCAGAUCCCAUUCCUGGAGCUCAACCGCUACCCGUGCCGCCGGAACUCGCUGCCUUGAUGGGGAGUGGCCUGGGACAUCAGGGGCGGCUAAUGGGUCCUGAUGGCAUGUCUCUGGUGAACGGUACGACAGGGGUCCAUGGGGAAGAGUACUGGACAGAUGGUGGGGUCCCUCAGGGAAGACCGCCCUCCCCUCAGACUCAGACUCAAAUACAGAGUCAGCCCCAGAGACAGGUCAGCGACGUCUACUCCAACACCCUGCCUGUUCGCAGGCCCCAGCCCGCUAAGAACAAGACUACUGUGGGAGAAACGAGAACUCUGCCCAGGUCAAGUUCCAUGGCAGCAGGUCUGGAGAAGAAUGGACGCUCUCGUGUACAGGCCAUUUUCUCACACGCCGCUGGCGACAACACCACCCUGCUCAGCUUCACUGAGGGUGACAUCAUUACCCUGCUAGUACCUGAGGCUCGCGACGGCUGGCACUAUGGAGAGAAUGAGAAGAACAAGAUGCGUGGCUGGUUUCCUUUUUCCUACACUCGGGUGCUGCCUGACAGUGAAGGCGAGAAGUUAAGAGUCAAUCUUCAUCAUGGGAAGAGCAGCAGCACAGGGAACCUGCUGGAGAGAGAGGACAUGUCUCUGCCCAUGCCCGACUAUGGGCUGACCGCCCGACUCUUGGCACAGAGCCUAACACAGACUCGACCACGGCCAUACAGCAUGGCAGGCUUUGCACAGCCAGCGCUAGAGGAUUAUGACAAUCCUUUUGCCACAAGUUCCGAUGGCAAAUUGAUUUCGACAGUGUGAACACAGACUAUCAGACAGAUACAGCUCCGGAUAGCACAGGGGCCACGCCCCUUCUUCCCUUAACCCCUCCCCCUCUUAAGCUCUGCCUCCACACACUCCUCCUCCAAUGGAAGGGGCCAGUCUCAUCCCUCCUUUCUGUGCUCUCUUCUUCCCUGCGUCUUGCCGGGGUGAUAGUGGCGGUCGCGUGUGGUGGGUCGGGGGGGAACUGUGAGAAGAACGACCGGAACGCAGUCCAACUGCUCGCCUCGCCGCUUUACAGACUCUGAUUCGCCUGUAGUGACACCGCUAUGACAUCGCUGUGGACUCCAAAGAGACUGCUUACCACUUCCUGUCUUUCAUGCAUGAGCACAAGUUUGCUAUGUGGUUGUUUUUUAAAAUGACAUCCUCAUGUAAAAGUGCCAAAAGAAAAGCAAAUUUGGUAUUUUGGAGCAGCUCUCCUCAUUACAAAGCUCUUGCUGAUUGUUUUUUUCUAAGCAGAAUUUAUGGGAACCUCAAGCAAAAUGAGUAAUGUUUUUUUAUUUUAUUAUGUGGUUCAGCUGUGCAGAGUGUGCUCUCUCUCUCUGUGUGUUUUUGAAGAACCUUUGUGAUCCCUCGUGUAUUACCUGGUGCUCCUCUGGUCCAGAGGCUGUGUCACUUUGUGCCAAAACGAACAGAACCUUAGAUCUUCUUUCAUUUCACAAACAUCAUUGGAAUAAUUGGAAGGAAAAUCUGCAUCCCAGAUUAAAAGUGUGCCGAACGAGAGUGGACCUACGAAACUAGAAUGAAGGUUGCAUGAGCUUCAAAAUACUUGGGUGGGACUCUGCUGUUUGCCAAAACCAGCAUGUGUCCGCUCGCCCUACAUGCAUGAAAGAAAAGUGCUCUGAGCAUAAACCCAAACCUUUUUCCCCCCCUAAAAAAAGAAAAACAGAAAACAUUAUCCUUAGACACAUAUAGUAUGGGGUCAGAAUAGUAUUAAAAUUAAUAUAUGCAUAAAAUAACCUAAUUCAUAUUCACAUACAAAACAUGAAUACUAAAUGCAAUUUACAAAUGUGUAACUUGACUCACAUUCACAAAAUAUGAUUCACAAACGUAGAACCGAAUUCACAAACUAAGAUUUACAAAUGCGUAACAAGGGAUGGAUAUAGUAAGAAAUUUAAUGAUCCUGGUUCUGAUAUCUCCUAACAAUGCGGUUUCUUAACAGAUCCAUUAAUGAUUAUUUUUAUAGUUUUGAGGGAGAAAUAUUGUUAAAGUAUGUUACCUUUUCAGUGUUAAAAUACUUUUAUUCUAUCCCAGCUUAAUAUGCAGAGUUAACUAUAAGUAAGCCAUUCAUAGGUUAAUUGUCUCGAAAACUGUAAGCACUGUGUCUCUGUGGCACUUUAAAAAUGCAUCUUUUUUUUUAUUUUUUAUUACUCAACCAAUAGCAUUAGUUGGGGGGACAAUUUGUUAGUUCGCUCAAUGGCAGAUGAGGGGUGUAUUCAGAAAGCUGUUUUGAAAACAUUGUUUAUUUUUGCAAUUCCAUUCAGUGGUGCUAGUGUCACAUAAAUUACAUAUUUUAGCUUUAACGUUGUCAUUGUCAACAACCAUUGAGUAAUUACUCUGAUUAAAGUCUUACAAGCUUGGAUUUGUGUGUGGAUGUUGAGAUUUGUCUAAAAAUUUAAAGCGCGUUCUCUUUAUCCAAUCAGAUGAGACAUUUUCAGUCCAGCCAAUCAGCGUACUUAACGCAGGAGUAACACUAACUUAUGCCUUACUACAGUUCAAUGCAUUGGGCAACACUGAAACAAUAUAAAAGAGCCUUAAGGUUACGCAUUUGUAAAUCAGAGUUUGUGAUUAUAUUCAUUUUGAGUCUUUUUUGACCCCAUAAUAAAGUCUCUAAAACAUUCCCCCUUGUAGUAUGUUUCCAUGCAGAUUUACGAUGUUGACUGACAGAUCCUCUGGAGCUGUGGUGUAGUCCUCGCUGUGUUGAUGUUCUUUUGUUUCUUCUUUUGAAAACAUUUUUUUUUUUUCCUUGGAAAAUAGAAAACUAGGAAAAAUGCACAAGAAAUCAGUGUAUCAAUCACAAUAUGCAUGCUGAGGAGGAACAUAGUGAACAUUGACCUUGAAUGUAUGGUGACUUUUUACAAAAAGAAUAAAUAAAUAUCUAUAUAUUAAUAAAACAUUUGUUUAAAUGACCUUUGGAUGAUUUUUUUAAUUUGUCAUCUUGAAUUUUAAAUGAUUUGCAUUGAAGACAAAAAAAAAAAAAAAAAAUUCCACCACCUUAACUGUGUCAUCCACAAAUCAAAAUCUGGGGGAAGUUAUGAUUGUUUUUGUUGCUGUCCUUUGAGACUUUUCCACCCCAGUUUAAAUUCACUCAUCCUCAUAUUGCCCUGAGAAGAGCACACACGUAUAAUCUUACAUAGAUUGUGUGUGUCAUGACAUUGUGUCUGUAUGAAUAUGUGACAUGUACCUGUGUUUUUGUGGCCUUUGCUUGCCUGCUAGCCUUUUUUCUUCUAACUUCUCUUUCUGUGUUCUUACAGCUUGAACUGAUCUAUUUGAGAUGUAUAAGAAACUAGACACAUAGUUGCCCCAGAAAGUUUUUGGACACUUUUUGACACUGAAGUCACACUUCAAAUGUCAUUAGAUAACAAAAUAUCAAAUUAUGCUUUUCUCAGAACAAAGAACUGAUAUGAAGUCAGUUCCCCUCAAGUUCAAAAAAACUCAUUUAUGUGAAAUGUUUUGCUUGUAAAGUGUAUAUUUCUUUAAAAUAAAUGCCACUUGGUUUGAUAUUUUAUUAUAGAAUGUAAAGACAUUUUUAAGUGGCUUAAUUGUUCAAAUACUUUUUCGGGCAACUGUACUGUAUAUGUAGAAGUCUAUUUUAUAAGCAUGCCUUUUAUUUAGAGAACUAUGAACACUUGGGAUUUAAAUGUGCUCCUCAAAUGUUAAUUUUUUUCAAAACACUGUCCUUUAUACAGUAAAUUGGACUUGUUAUUGUAGAUUUCUAACCAAACUGCUAUGGGCAGACUUUUCAUUUUGCAUAAUAUUUUGAACCCAUGUCAUUUCUAGAAGCGUGUUAUUUACUCAUCUUUAAACAUAUAAAACUGUAACGUCAUCCAUCUUAUACAGUGACCAAUCAAAAAAAAAAAAAGAUUUUUUUUUUUAAAUGCCAUGUCACAGAGCGAGUAACCAUCUAACGCAACACUAACAGUCGUGUGAAUGCAGUGGAAAUGUAGCCAUGCAUAGCCUCGGUCUGAGGUACAAACCCCUGGAUUCUCUUUACCUUCCAGUUUGGGUCCUGAAUUGUCCCGUUUCUGAGUGUUGCAGGACCUCUUGACCGUUCUUUGGAGCUCUUCCUUAGACAAAGCAUCAUGGACGACCGAUCUGCUCCUCUGUACUACUAGAGGGGCCCUUGCUGUGGCCUGUGCACUGUACUGCCCUCUUCUGUUCUGUCUGUGUCAUUGCAACAGCAUAUGAAGGCAGAGCUUAAGUGCUUGCUUAAAUGGGGUUAAAGGAAGGAGAAUAGACAGUAAAUCUUGCAUGUUCUGUCCUGAAAAGAUUAUAAGAGUAAUGAUCUUAACUCUGUAGCUUCAUAAUUAUUGACAUUUGUAGUAAGGAAUUUGAAGAGGUAAUGACUUUUAUUUAAAAAAAAAAUAUUUAUUUUUUUUUAAAUCAUGUUAACUAACCUGGCACAUCAAAAACUGACCAUGUACUUUUAUUGGAAGGGAGUGAAGAUCUUGAAUGAAAUAAAUGAAAUACAGCAUCACAUAAGAGUAUGCCUGCAAUCUGACUGUUGAGAUUUGAGAUCAUUUGCAACUUGAAUGUAAAUAUGUAACAAAAUAUUUAGUAGAUUUAAAUUCCAUAUAUUGCAAUUUCAUAUUUUAAGCAAGCCUUUUUCUCAGUUAAAAGCUGUGUGACAUGUCUCUGUAUCACCUCUAUAUAUUUUGAAAGCUGUGCUCAGGAGACAUUACAAUGAAACCUCUUCACAGGGGUCUUGAUACUGUGGUCGCUCUAGCAUAAACCAACUGCCAUGCUUUGAUUUAUUACUGCAGCCUCAAGCUCUAGUGAUGCAUCUGCAAAUUCUCUGGUUAAAGAGUUCUGUACAGUAUAUUAGUCGCAAUAUAUAGUGCAAUAUUGACAUGCAAGCAUCAUUGCAAUUCUUUGAAAAAAAAAACAAAAAAUACAAAAUCUGUAUCUCCACUGGUGUAAGUACAGGGAAUUGCUUGUGUGAUUGUGUGUUAUGUUGUUUGAUUAGUUUUUUUUUUAUUAUUAUAUGCCACUACUGUCACUUGUUUGUUUCUUAGAAAUUUCAGCAAUUGUUCUAGAUAUAAGAGGGUUUGUUACUUUUUCUCCAGCUACUUUUGCUCACAAGCUCUGUUGAGAAUAUAAAUGUAUUUUAUUCCACAUACUGAACAAUAGUGCUUAUAAACUAUCAAACUUAGAUUGACUACACAAUAAUGGAAAUCUAUAAAUUGCAGGUUAUGUAAAUAUGUAUCUUUGUUUUUGCCUGAGGGACAGAAAAUUACAUUUCUAGAAUAUAAUCUUUAUCACAAAAGCUCUUUGUACAGAUAAUCUUUAAAUAGAUUUCUUGCCACAGGACAAAAAAAAAAAAAAGUAGUUUAAAUGCUAAUAUGAAUUGCAUGUUUUUGUAAUAGGGCAACUACUCUGGUUUGUGUGAUGAAAGUGGGGUAUUUUGUGUCUGAUCAGCUUUAAGACCCAUUUUAUAACGUUUUUGUUUUUGUUGUUGGGUUUUUGUUGUUUUUAUUUUUUAUUUUUUUUGCUUUUCUAAUGUUCUGUUCAUUCUAAUUUAUGGUUACCUGCAAAUGUAUGUGCACAUUCUUGUCUUUCAUGAAAUAAAAAGGAAUUAAAAACUUCAAA